rnacentral:piRNA from 1 species
UCAGAGUGAGCAUGAUAAGCCUGUGCUGUU